GACGAACGCUGGCGGCGUGCUUAACACAUGCAAGUCGAACGGAAAGGCCCUGCUUUUGUGGGGUGCUCGAGUGGCGAACGGGUGAGUAACACGUGAGUAACCUGCCCUUGACUUUGGGAUAACUUCAGGAAACUGGGGCUAAUACCGGAUAGGAGCUCCUGCUGCAUGGUGGGGGUUGGAAAGUUUCGGCGGUUGGGGAUGGACUCGCGGCUUAUCAGCUUGUUGGUGGGGUAGUGGCUUACCAAGGCUUUGACGGGUAGCCGGCCUGAGAGGGUGACCGGCCACAUUGGGACUGAGGUACGGCCCAUACUCCUACGGGAGGCAGCAGUGGGGAAUAUUGCACAAUGGGCGGAAGCCUGAUGCAGCAACGCCGCGUGCGGGAUGGCGGCCUUCGGGUUGUAAACCGCUUUCGCCUGUGACGAAGCGUGAGUGACGGUAAUGGGUAAAGAAGCACCGGCUAACUACGUG
rnacentral:rRNA from 1 species